rnacentral:lncRNA from 1 species
AUGUGUGUAUUUCACAGCUCCAAAGACACUAAGGUGGCUGUUGAACAAAAGAUGGAGACAAGUCCACUGAAGACCAGUUUGGUGAACGUACAGAAAGUGAACCCUGCUCCUGAGCCCAGUCCCACCACCCCAGCAAGCUCCAAAGACACCAAGCUGCCUGUUGAACAGAAGAGACAAGCCAGUCCAGUGAAGACCAGCUCAGCCGAAGCAGCGAAACUAAGCCCUGCUCUGGACCCCAGCCCCAUGGUCUUAACCAACUCAGCGGCAGCAUCAAAACUAAGUCCUGCUCUGGGCCCCAGCCCCCUGGUCUUAACCAGCUCCAAAGACACUAAACUGUCUGUUGAACAGAAGCCAAAGACAGAGAGCAGCCCAGUGAAGCCAAGCCCUGUCGUGAAUACUUUCACAGCUCUGUCGGACACACUCAUUUCUCCAAAGUCAAACACACCCAGUUCUCCUCCUGAAGCUCCGGCAACCUCAGACACGAGCGAAGAUCUGGACAUUGAUGACCUCAUUGCAGUGGGUGACAGUGACAGUGCUGUGGACCUUCUCGACCCAUUCCCUGUGGACACCACCAAGAGCUCAACAAAGCCAGCUGAUCCCGUUCCAGUCAGGACUAUUUCCAUCAAGAGGUGGGCUCCUGAGUGUCUCUAG